rnacentral:rRNA from 1 species
UAAUAGCUCACUGGUCGAGUCGGCCUGCGCGGAAGAUGUAACGGGGCUAAACCAUGCACCGAAGCUGCGGCAGCGACGCUUAUGCGUUGUUGGGUAGGGGAGCGUUCUGUAAGCCUGUGAAGGUGGCCUGUGAGGGUUGCUGGAGGUAUCAGAAGUGCGAAUGCUGACAUAAGUAACGAUAAAGCGGGUGAAAAGCCCGCUCGCCGGAAGACCAAGGGUUCCUGUCCAACGUUAAUCGGGGCAGGGUGAGUCGACCCCUAAGGCGAGGCCGAAAGGCGUAGUCGAUGGGAAACAGGUUAAUAUUCCUGUACUUGGUGUUACUGCGAAGGGGGGACGGAGAAGGCUAUGUUGGCCGGGCGACGGUUGUCCCGGUUUAAGCGUGUAGGCUGGUUUUCCAGGCAAAUCCGGAAAACCAAGGCUGAGGCGUGAUGACGAGGCACUACGGUGCUGAAGCGACAAAUGCCCUGCUUCCAGGAAAAGCCUCUAAGCAUCAGGUAACAUCAAAUCGUACCCCAAACCGACACAGGUGGUC